CAGUAGCCGCGGGAAUACGUAGGUGGCAAGCGUUGUCCGGAAUCAUUGGGCGUAAAGGGCUCGCAGGCGGUUUCUUAAGUCUGAUGUGAAAGCCCCCGGCUCAACCGGGGAGGGUCAUUGGAAACUGGGAAACUUGAGUGCAGAAGAGGAGAGUGGAAUUCCACGCGUAGCGGUGAAAUGCGUAGAGAUGUGGAGGAACACCAGUGGCGAAGGCGACUCUCUGGUCUGUAACUGACGCUGAGGAGCGAAAGCGUGGGGAGCGAACAGGAUUAGAUACCCCUGUAGUCCCUGUCUCUUAUAC
rnacentral:rRNA from 1 species